CUACUAGGAAUAAAUACUGCAUUCUCCAGUGUCUUUUCUAGCUAGUUGUGGCUUUGUCACUAAAUCCUGGCCAGUAGGAUAUAAGCAAAAGUGUUUCGUGGCAGCUUUCAGGAAAUUUCAUCAAAAGAAAGCUCUCAUGUGUCCUUUUUAUUCCUCCUUCCUCCAUCCUGCUGGCUGUAAUGUUGACGUGAUGGCUGGAGCUGCUGUAACCUUCUGGAACCAUGAAGUCACCUUGAGAAAGGAAGCUGUGACUAGUAGAAUGACAAGAGAGAAGGAGCAUUGUUUUUGGAAGGGAUCACAAAAAGCAGCUAUUUUUGUUUGGGGAGUACUUUCUGAUACUGCCUCUGGAACAACUUUAAUGAAAGUAGAGUCCAGCACUUACCUGAAGUUGUGAUUAUCUACAACCAUCUGCAAUGUGGUUCAUCUCUAGUUUUCACGUGGAGCCUCACUGGAUGUCAAGCUGCAGGCUACCAAGAGCAAUUAGCUGGGCAGAACAUCUAUGAACACAGUGAAAAUGGGAAAAUGAAGAUUUAAAUGAAACUUCCUCAGUUAUAUAAACCAAACUACAAAAAUAGAAGUCAAAGGAGAUGGAUGCCAGGUGUUAGCCUAAGAGUUGGCAUGUAUUUUUUGGAGUACUGUGAGGUGUAUUGCAAGUCUUGCCAUUAUUUGUUUACAUUUUUCAAAAAGCUAAAAGUCAAAAUAGCCAAAAUAACUCAGACUAUUUCAAAAGCUCAUUAUUUGCAUAGUGUAUUCAUUUGAGCAAGAGGAAAGUCUGACUGCUAAGAGUUGCUAGGCAAGGAUAAAAGUGGACUGUAUGUGUAAAGAAGGGAAUGAGAAGGUUGCACACAGGUAGUAUGCUCUUUACCAGCCAGUGCUGCCAUCCCUAGUUGCUGGGAAUAUGGGCUGAUACAUAACAACAUCCCCUUUCCUAGACAAUUUUCUGGUCAGCCAGGAGCUGCCUCUCCUCAGGGGCUAUGCAACCACCUCUUGGAGUUCAGAAUUUAGAUGAUGACUGAUAUCAAGGUUUAAAGGCUGCUUGUGUCAAAGUGAGAUUGAGUCAGUGGUACGAUGUGUACUCUAGAGUUUUCACCAUAAGACCAGUUGUAAAGAAGCCUCUGAGACCAGAUUCUUGUGUAGGUUUUUUGUCUUGCCUAUCCUGCAUUCCUCACCUCUCCUGAAGGCUUUCUCUCAUUCUGUCACUUGAACAAGAAUCCCCUCCCAGGCUCUGCUUCCAAGGCUACAAGGAUUCAAUCUGCUUUCCUUUAUUUUGGAAGUUGUUAACACCCACUCUACUUUCUGGGUUUAUUUCCUAGCAAGCCUGCCUGCAGAGAAAUUAUUGCAGACCAACUUACCCAGGCAACAGUUUGCCCAUCUGGGCAAACAGUUCUCUUAUUGGACAACAUCAUUUUCACUUGGACAAACAGCUCAAUUUUCAGGCAACUGUUUUCUCACAAAGAGCCUUAUGUCUAUCUUAAACUAUUGUGUCAUGAAUGUUGCCCAGUCUCGACAAUCUUCACACCUUAAAAAAUAAACCUCAAACCAUUUGAGUACAGUCCCCUAAACCCUAUCAAUACCCUUCUCUGUUGUCUCCUUUUGAGACUGAUAAAACUCUGUUAAUGUGGCUCUCUCCCUUACUGCAGUAUGUUUAGUAAAUUCUGCUUUGCCAAACAACAGGUUUAUCUGGUGGAUGUUAUAAAGGAGUCAACAAUCACCAGGUCCAAACACAAUCUUUGACACAUAACAGAAGCUCAAUUAAAUUUUUUUUCAUUAAAUAACUAGGCAGAAACUCAGAUAGGGUAUUAUAUGAGAUAAAUAUGGGGGAAAGGGAGAACAAGAACGUAUUAGUCACAAGGAAAAAGAAAACUGGUUAUACAAGAGUCCAGGAAAUCUAUUAAAAGGCUAAAGGAAUAGAACUGACUCUGAAACGUAAGAAUCUUAGAGCUCCAUGAGAUUGUUAAUCUAUGAGGUUGGCCAAUCAAUUGUGCACACAUGUGUUAGCCUCUAUAAGGUGUCAUAUACAAGGGACAUGAAACUAUCUGAUAGAUCGUGCAAUAAACAGUGUCACUUUUUUCAGUAUUUUCUAUUCCCAAAGGAAAGGCUUUUUCUGUAUUUCUGGUCUAGGCUGAAGCUCAAGAUUUGCCUGUAUGGGUUAAUGGGAGAUAAACAUACAUUCAUUUAAACAUUCAGUAUUUAGAGUAGUUAGUAUUUAGUAUUUGCUAUGUCAAAACACCAUUCUAGUUUCUAGCAACAUUGAGAUGAAUAUGGAGGGGGCUGAAAAACUAAGGGUUUAUCUUGUCAAAAAGAAGCAAAUGAAAAGAAAUAACAUGUUAGAGCCAUACAAUUCUAAAAGGGCUCAUUCACGUUCAUAAAUUUUCAGGUUAUCUUCCGCUGACCCUCAGAAAAACCUAUAGAAGGCAAAAACAGCUUUGAAAAAGGUUCUCUUUACUUCUCUUGAACUCAUCAUUAACUUAAGUACUGUAGGCUAGAAAUCAUUGUCAAUUGCAUUUUUUUGCAGAGCAAAACCACCUUUUUUGUUUGUUUGUUUAAAGGAGUGGAACACUGAGUAACUCUUGAAAUGGAAAAUGACUAUAUAUCACUUAGUAUAAUUAUGGCCUUCACCAAAAACUUUAUCUGUCAAGCCAAAUAAUUAGUAAAGCUCUCCAGGGUGCUAAAUCCAAAAUGCUCUUGGUCAUUUACUCCAG
rnacentral:lncRNA from 1 species